AGGUCAGGGGCCAGGGAGCACGUGAUGCGCGCCUGCUGGGCGGGGGCGGGGUGGCGCUUGAAGCGUUGGUCCCUCCCGGCCUUUACAGUUCGUCUCGCGCCUUCAGGGCCAGCUGGAGGGCGGGGGGAGGAGCUGGGUUUGGCGCCUUUUUCUCUCUCGCGGCUGUUGGUCUCGCGCCUCCCGCCUGGCAGCCGUCGCCCGAGGAGAAGGCAGCGGGUUGGGUUGGGCGCCUUUUUCCUGCCUGCUAGCGCUGCCCCUGGGCGUCCCCUUCCGUAGGGUCCUGUCAGGCCCCGCUUCGUUCCUCAGGAAACAGCGGAUGCGGGCCCGGCAGCUCUGCCCUACAGACCUCUGUUCCCGUACCCCACUGCUCCCUGGCACGCAGCGCUCAUUAUUAACAUUGGGAGCUAGGUGCCCCGGCAUGCGGUACUACCGCGCACGCUUCUUGUUAUAACGCAAGGUGCCCUGGCACAGCUGCCAUUACAGGAGGAAGCACCCAGGCAUGGGGUAUUGCCACGCGCGGUUAUGAUUAUAAUGCGAGAUGUCCCUGUGCCGCGUAGGGUUACUGCUGUAAUAUGAGACGCUGCGUCAGAUGCCCCUAUCGUAGGGUUAUUUUAUAAUCCGAAGCUUGCCCCACUCAGCUAGUACUCUGAAAGGAGGUGCCCCGAGUGAGGCAGUGUGGACAUGGCGACUGUUAAUUGUAUGAAUUGAUACAGAGUCUGAAGCAAAGUAUGGGGCUUGGUGCUGGCAGAAAUAAGGCCAGGACCGGCUCUAGGCACCAGCAAAGCAAGCACGUGCUUGGGGCGGCACAAUUCCAGGGGUGGCUUUCUGGCCAUCCUUUUUUUUUUUUUUUGGCUUGGGCAGUGGUGCACUUGAGAUGGCAAAAAACCUAGAGCCGGCCCUGAAUAAGGCCCUGCGUUUUCUCUUAGGCGUUCACAGUUUGUCUAAAUCAGACCGUCACUGAAGAAAUGUCACUUUUGCAAACAAAUAGAAGGACAAGGUCACAAUCUGUGGCUACAAUGAAGACUUGCUCAAGUACAAGGGAUAAAUCCAUGACUUGCAUUUGGCUACUAAAAGACAAAAGGAACCAAAAAUACAUGUUUUAUGAUCAGCUGCAUGAGCUUCUUUUUAAACCACCAUUUUUACAUCGUCAGAAAAUUUAUGAGAAAAAGGUUUACUGUGCAGCUGCUGGAAGAGGGAAUGUACUUCAUAUAUUCUUUUACCAGAAAAUAUCUGCUUUCAAAGUGAUGAAGAGGACAGCCUCUUCCCCAAGAUCCUGCAUCUGGAGAUGGGAGUAGGCUGCCACUGGUGUCCCUCAGAUCUCAGUUACUAAAGAACCUGAGAGAUCUUAGUUGAGAAUGCAGGCCAGAAUGAAAGGAAAAAAGAAAGAUAACAGGAACUGCUGUUAAGUCUGUCAAUGAGGUAUGAUGGCCUUUACAGGUAUUUAAAAUGUUUACUCCAUCUCUUAAAGAAAGAAAUAGCUUGUUGGGCCACUUGUCAAUUCUGCUGACUCAAAGACUGAAUAGAGGUUUGAUUGGCACUGCAGAUGCUUUACUGUGAUUAAAUUGGGCAUCAAAACUUGAAGACAAAGAACAAUGAAAAUGACCAGAACAAUAUAGGCCACUUCACCUUGAAUGGUUCCUUGAAAUAUGUGUUAACUGCUUAUGCUAAACAAGUUGUUGCACCUUGUAUUUAACUGUGACACUCUGAGGGUAUGUCUACGUUAUGAAAUUAGGUCGAAUUUAUAGAAGUCGAUUUUUUAGGAAGCAAUUUUAUACAGUCGAUUGUGUGUGUUCCCACUAAGCUCAUUAAGUCGGUGGUGUGCGUCCACAGUACUGUGGCUAGCGUCGACUUUUCGGAGCGUUGCACUGUGGGUAGCUAUCCCACAGUUCCCGCAGCUAUCCCACAGUCCGCCGCCCACUGGAAUUCUGAGUUAAGCUCCCAAUGCCUGAUGGCGCAAAAAUAUUGUCAUGGGUGGUUUUGUUUUGGAUACGUGUCGUCAGUUGCCCCUCCCUCAGUGAAAGCAACGGCAGACAAUCGUUUUGCACCUUUUUUCCGUGCGGACGCCAUACUGCUUUCAGCAGACGGUGCGGUAGGACUGCUAACUGUCGUCAUCGAACCACCGCUUCCACUGCAACUCUGCUCUCCUGCUCGUGUCUCGAUAGUGAAUUUAUCCGUGUUGGCUGUCAUGGGCUCCCGCUUCCACUGCAACUCUGCUCUCCUGCUGUCAUGGAUGCACCUCACAGGUCCUCUCGUUGUUCUCUAUAAAUAUCUAUUCUUGUGGCAUCUGUCAUCAGCCACCGUUUCUGCUGCAACUCUGCUCUCCUGCAGACGCCAUACCAUGGCAAGCAUGAAGCCUGCUCAGAUCACCGCGGCUGUUAUGAGCAUUGUAAACACCUCGCGCAUUAUCCUGUAGUAUGUUCAGAACCAGAACCUGCAAAAGCAGGCGAGGAGGCGAUGGCAGCGCGGUGACGAGAGUGAUGAGGACAUGGACACAGACUUCUCUCAAAGUACGGGCUCUGGCAAUUUGGGCAUCCUGGUGGCAAUGGGGCAGGCUCAUGCCGUGGAAUGCUGAUUCUGGGCCCGGGAAACAAGCACAGACUGGUGGGACCACAUAGUAUAGCAGGUCUGGGAUGAUUCCCAGUGGCUGCAAAACUUUCAUAUGCAUAAGGGCACUUUCAUGGAACUUUGUGACUUGCUUUUCCCUGCCCUGAAGUGCAGGAAUACCAAGAGGAGAACAGCCCUCACAGUUCACAAGCGAGUGGCGAUAGCUCUCUGGAAGCUUGCAACACCAGACAGCUACCGGUCAGUCAGGAAUCAAUUCGGAGUGGGCAAAUCUACUGUAGGGGCUGCUGUGAUCCAAGAAGCCAAUGCAAUCACUGAGCUGCUGCUAUCAAGGAUAGUGACUCUGGGAAAUGUACAGGUCAUAGUGGAUGGCUUUGCUGCAAUGGGAUUCCCUAACUGUGGUGGGGCAAUAGACGGAACGCAUAUCCCUAUCUUGGGACUGGACCACCUUGGCAGCCAGUAUGUAAACCGCAAGGGGUACUUUUCAAUGGUGGAUCACAAGGGACGUUUCACCAGCAUCAACGUGGGAUGGCCGGGAAAGGUACAUGACGCUCACAUCUUCAGGAACUCUGGUUUGUUUGAACAGCUGCAGAAGGGACUUACUUUCCAGACCAGAAAAUAACCGUGGGGGAUGUUGAAAUGCCUAUAGUUAUCCUUGGGGACCCAGCCUACCCCUUAAUGCCAUGGCUCAUGAAGCCAUACGCAGGCACCCUGGAUAGUAGUUAGGAGCUGUUCAACUAUAGGCUGAGCAAGUGCAGAAUGGUGGUAGAAUGUGCAUUUGGACGUUUAAAAGCGUGCUGGCAUAGUUUACUGACUCGGUUAGACCUCAGCGAAACCAAUAUUCCCACUGUUAUUCCUGCUUGCUAUGUGCUCCACAAUCUCUGUGAGAGUAAGGAGGAGUCGUUUAUGGCGGAGUGGGAGGUUGAGGCAAAUCUCCUGGCCGCUGAUUGCGCACAGCCAGACACCAGGGCGGUUAGAAGAGCACAGCAGGGCGCACUGUGCAUCAGAGAAGCUUUGGAAACCAGUUUCAUGACUUGCCAGGCUAUAGUGUGACAUUUCGGUUUGUUUUUCCUUGAUGAAAACCCACCCCCUUGGUUCACUCUACUUCCCUGUAAGCCAACUGACCUCCACACUUCAAUCACCGCUUGCAGAGGCAAUAAAGUCAUUGUUGUUUCAAA